rnacentral:rRNA from 1 species
GACGAACGCUGGCGGCGUGCUUAACACAUGCAAGUCGAACGGAAAGGCCCUGCUUUUGUGGGGUGCUCGAGUGGCGAACGGGUGAGUAACACGUGAGUAACCUUCCCUUUACUUUGGGAUAACUUCAGGAAACUGGUGCUAAUACCUGAUAGGAGCUCCUGCUGCAUGGUGGUGGUUGGAAAUUUUCGGCGGUUGGGGAUGUACUCGCGGGUUAUCAGCUUGUUGGUGGGGUAGUGGCUUACCAAGGCUUUGACGGGUAGCCGGCCUGGGAGGGUGAACGGCCACAUUGGGACUGAGAUACGGACCAGACUGCUACGGGAGGCAGCAGUGGGGAAUAUUGCACAAUGGGCGGAAGCCUGAUGCAGCAACGCCGCGUGCGGGAUGACGGCCUUCGGGUUGUAAACCGCUUUCGCCUGUGACGAAGCGUGAGUGACGGUAAUGGGUAAAGAAGCACCGGCUAACUACGUG